UACGAAGGGGGCUAGCGUUGCUCGGAUUGACUGGGCGUAAAGGGCGCGUAGGCGGUUCGUACAGUCAGACGUGAAAUUCCUGGGCUCAACCUGGGGGCUGCGUUUGAUACGUGCGGACUUGAGUGCGGAAGAGGGUCGUGGAAUUCCCACGUGUAGAGGUGAAAUUCGUAGAUAUUGGGAAGAACACCGGUGGCGAAGGCGGCGACCUGGUCCGAUACUGACGCUGAGGCGCGAAAGCGUGGGGAGCAAACAGG
rnacentral:rRNA from 1 species